AUACGUAUGUCGCAAGCGUUAUCCGGAUUUACUGGGCGUAAAGCGCGUCUAGGCGGCUUAGUAAGUCUGAUGUGAAAAUGCGGGGCUCAACCCCGUAUUGCGUUGGAAACUGCUAAACUAGAGUACUGGAGAGGUAGGCGGAACUACAAGUGUAGAGGUGAAAUUCGUAGAUAUUUGUAGGAAUGCCGAUGGGGAAGCCAGCCUACUGGACAGAUACUGACGCUAAAGCGCGAAAGCGUGGGUAGCAAACAGGAUUAGAUACCCUGGUAGUCCACGCCGUAAACGAUGAUUACUAGGUGUUGGGGGUCGAACCUCAGCGCCCAAGCUAACGCGAUAAGUAAUCCGCCUGGGGAGUACGUACGCAAGUAUGAAACUCAAAUGAAUUGACGGGG
rnacentral:rRNA from 1 species